rnacentral:rRNA from 1 species
CACGGACCAAGGAGUUCAGCGUGUACGCGAGUCAUUGGGUGGUAAAACCCAAAGGCGUAAUGAAAGUGAAGGGAACUUUACGUUUCUGAGGGAGGAUGAGUCGGUUACCCGCAAGGGGCUGCUCCGCACUCCCGGGGCGUCUCUUUCUCAUUGCGAGUGGAGGCGCACCCAGAGCGUACACGCUGAUACCCGAAAGAUGGUGAACUAUGCCUGGCCAGGACGAAGCCAGGGGAAACCCUGGUGGAGGUCCGCAGCGAUUCUGACGUGCAAAUCGAUCGUCGGAGCUGGGUAUAGGGGCGAAAGACCAAUCGAACCAUCUAGUAGCUGGUUCCCUCCGAAGUUUCCCUCAGGAUAGCUUGCGCUCAUGUGAAAGAGUCUCAUCCGGUAGAGCGAAUGAUUAGAGGCCUUGGGGUCGAAACGACCUCAACCUAUUCUCAAACUCCAAAUAGAUGAGAACUCCGGCUUUCUUGAACAACUGUUUUUGAAGCCGGGGGCUCGGAUCAGAGUGCCAAGUGGGCCAAUUUUGGUAAGCAGAACCGGCGCUGUGGGAUGAACCAAACGUCGAGUUAAGGCGCCCAAAUCGACGCUCAUGUGAAACCAUGAAAGGCGUUGGUUGCUUAAGACAGCAGGACGGUGGCCAUGGAAGUCGGAAUCCGCUAAGGAGUGUGUAACAACUCACCUGCCGAAGCAACUAGCCCUGAAAAUGGAUGGCGCUGUAGCGUCGUGCCUAUACUCGACCGUCAACGGCAAAGAUGGCUGGCGGGCAACCGUCGGCCGUUACGCCUUGACGAGUAGGAGGGCCGCGGCGGCGUGCGUAGAAGGGUCUGGGCGUGAGCCUGCCUGGAGCCGCCGUCGGUGCAGAUCUUGGUGGUAGUAGCAAAUACUCCAGCGAGGCCCUGGAGGACUGAUGUGGAGAAGGGUUUCUUGUGAACAGCUGUUGCACAAGAGUCAGUCGGUCCUAAGCCCUAGGAGAAAUCCGAAGCGAUGGGUUGCCGUUAAUGUAAUGUAAUAAUAACAUGAAGGCACCCGUUUGGGCGAAAGGGAAUCCGGUUCCUAUUCCGGAACCUGGCAGUGGAACCGUUCCAAUUCGGGCCCUCUGAGGACUCGUCAGGGCAACCUGAAUAGACCCGGAGACGCCGACAGGAGGUUGGGGGAGAGUUGUCUCUUCUCUAUAAGCGAUCGAGUUCCCUGGAAACUUCUAGCAAGGAGAUAGGGUUUGGAUCGCGAAGAGCACUGCAGUUACGGCAGUGUCCCAAUCUUCCUCUCGGACCUUGAAAAUCCGGGUGAGGGCCACGAGGAACCCCACGCCAGACCGUACCCAUAUCCGCAGCAGGUCUCC